rnacentral:rRNA from 1 species
AGCGAACGCUGGCGGCAGGCCUAACACAUGCAAGUCGAACGAAGUCUUCGGACUUAGUGGCGGACGGGUGAGUAACACGUGGGAACGUACCUUUUGGUUCGGAACAACUCAGGGAAACUUGAGCUAAUACCGGAUGAGCCCUUAGGGGGAAAGAUUUAUCGCCGAAAGAGCGGCCCGCGUUAGAUUAGCUAGUUGGUGAGGUAAAGGCUCACCAAGGCCACGACCUAUAGCUGGUCUGAGAGGAUGAUCAGCCACACUGGGACUGAGACACGGCCCAGACUCCUACGGGAGGCAGCAGUGGGGAAUCUUGCGCAAUGGGCGAAAGCCUGACGCAGCCAUGCCGCGUGAAUGAUGAAGGUCUUAGGAUUGUAAAAUUCUUUUACCAGGGACGAUAAUGACGGUACCUGGAGAAAAAGCCCCGGCUAACUUCGUGCCAGCAGCCGCCGUAAAAC